CUACGGGGUGCUCCAGUGGGGAAUAUUGGACAAUGGGGGAAACCCUGAUCCAGCAAUGCCGCGUGUGUGAAGAGGGCCUGCGGGUUGUAAAGCACUUUCGGUUGGGAGGACUGCUUCUAGCACUAAUAUUGUUGGAAGUUGACGUUACCUUCAGAAGAAGCACCGGCUAAGUCCGUGCCAGCAGCCGCGGUAAUACGGAGGGUGCAAGCGUUAAUCGGAAUUACUGGGCGUAAAGCGCGCGUAGGCGGCUAGAUCAGUCGGGUGUGAAAGCCCCGGGCUUAACCUGGGAACUGCAUCCGAUACUGUCUAGCUUGAGUACAGGAGAGGAGAGUGGAAUUCCACAUGUAGCGGUGAAAUGCGUAGAUAUGUGGAGGAACACCAAUGGCGAAGGCAGCUCUCUGGCCUGAUACUGACGCUGAGGUGCGAAAGCGUGAGGAGCAAACAGGAUUAGAUACCCCGGUAGUC
rnacentral:rRNA from 1 species